CAGCCUAGCGGCAGGAUUCCGGUUUCCUUGGCUACGCCAGAGAAAGGGAGGGUAAUUGAAGAGAGAGAAGCCGAGCGAAGGGCUGGUCCCUCGUCUUGUGUGGCGGCCGUGCUGUUGAAGGGAUGGGACAGAGCCGGGCCUAGCGGGGCAGCUGCCGCUAUGAGCGGAGCAGCAGCUGGUGGUGAGGGAAGGAGCGGCAACUCCCUGGCAGGCCGUUGGUCUGGCUGGAAACUGCUGGCUUUGGGCCUCCUCUCCGCUUCUUCGGUGUUGGCGGCAGCGCCGGCUGCGCAGGCUAUGAGCAGGGAGGAGAAGCGUCAUCUCGGAAAUCAAGUACUGGAAAUGUUUGAUCAUGCCUAUAGUAAUUACAUGGAACAUGCUUACCCAGCUGAUGAGCUCAUGCCUUUAACUUGCCGUGGAAGAGUUCGGGGUCAAGAACCAAGUCGUGGGGAUGUGGAUGAUGCCUUGGGAAAGUUAGUAUUUUGAAAUAAUUAUACUUAUUUGAAGCAUCAGUAUUUAGUUUAAAUGUGAUGCUGUUGAUCCAUUAUUACAAACCACAUAAAACUGAAUUUAAAUUCUGAAUGAAUAACCAUAAAAAGAACAGGAAUAUAUACGAAAAUGAAGAAAAACAAAAUCAGACUAAUAAUUGCAUGAUACAUGAAUACUAUUAUAUUUGUUUAAAAUAUUUUUCACCUGUGUAGUAUCUGGAGAAUCUUGUAGCAGAUUAUAGUGUUUAAGUAACAUAAAGCAGUAAAAUCAAGUAAGAUAAAUAGCAUCUUAAUUUAAAAUACGCAGUAAUAAUCACAUUGACACUGACAGAGAGGCAUUUACUGAAAAGGCUGUUCAUAUUAUGAGUACUAAGCUCUGAAUAUGAGAGUAAAAAGUUAAGGGGAAAAUUUCGUACAUUCAAGGUUUUGCAAGACUAUAAAGUGAGUUUAACUUUCUGUGCCAUAGUUCUGAUAAAAAUUGUGUCUUCAAAAAGUAUAUCUCUUCUAGGAUCAUAACCUAGAAGGAAACAGUUUUGACUCAACAUUCAAGUGAUCCCAUAAUUUCACAAACCCCUAUAGGGUUGAAGAGAGUAAUUGCAGCAUAUUUUGGCCCUCCAGACAAAAUCACUUGGUUCUUAAUUUUGAAAAAACUAAAAUUCUGAUCUUUGCUAAGAGAGCCACCCAACAAUCCUGGAGAGUAGAAGGGUACUGUACAAAUUAGAGCAGGUUACUGCAUUUAAAUAACGUUGAGGUGGCUUUCUACUCUAAAGGCACUUGGAACGUGCAUCAGAAUCACGUUGUAUAGCUAGCUCUUAGGUCUACAAGUGCUGUUAAGCGCUUCUACAAGUGGAGGACAAUCCCUGCACUGUUAAAACUUUUUGAGGCCAAACCACUGACCCAAAUCCUUUAUGAUGCAGAAGUAGGGAUUUAUGUGAAGAAGGAUGCACUGGAAACAGUGCAAACAAACAUUUUGAGAUCAAUCCUCACUGCACCCAGUGGAACAGCAAAUGCCUGGUUAAGGCUUGAGGCAGGAAUCCCUGCUAUCUAGGUAAGGGCUUGGGGGAUGAUGAUAAACUACUGGCUAAAAAUCCAAUUCUUCUUAGUUGGACUGACCCCUUUAGUUAUAAUAGACAAUUUUCCUUCUCCCUGGAAACAGGCUGUAGAGCAGAAGUUGGCAUUACAUGGGUUUUCUGUAUCAUUCCUAAUUUCUUUAGGAUAUGACGAAGCCAAACAACUGCUCACCCAAAGAAUAAGGGAUAUGGAGUUUCAGACUGAAGUUAAUAGGCUGCCCCAACAUGGCAGAAAUUGGAUAAAUAAGGGCACUUGGGAACCAGCAAGAUAUUUACAAAAUCUAACUUUCCCCAAACUAAGGAUAGCAUUUUUCAAAGCCAAGUAUAACAUUCUUACCAUCCAUACUGCUGCAAGACAGACACUCCAAAACCCCAUUAACUGAGCGUACCUGCCUAUGUGGCAACAAGGAGAUCAAAACCAGUUCACAUAUAUUAUUACACUGUAAAUUCUAUGGGGAUAUCAGGUCUGCUUAUAUUCUGCCCCUAAUAUGUAAAUUUCCAGGAAGGCCAGACAAUUUCUAUGAACCACCUUUUAGAAGAUUGGAAACCAUUUAUCACUUGUGCAGUGGCCAAAUUCUGUGUUGCCACGAUGAAAAUAAGGCAGAACUGAUUACAGAAAUAAUCACUUCUGUUUUAUUUAUCACUUUAGGUUUAACACAUAUUAGCUCUCUUGUUUUUAGCUUAUAUAUAUUUUACUUCACAGAUUGUAAUAUUUUAGAUUUACAUUUGCACAGAUAAUGAAUACAUCAUUAUAGUAGUGCGUGCCACAUUUUUAUGUUAUUUUAUCUUUGUUAUGCUAGUAUUUUAUCUCAUCUAUUUGAUUUUAC